rnacentral:rRNA from 1 species
UUUGUUUUUUUUUUAAGGAGAAAAAUGAAAAGUUCCCUGGUGAACAGCGGAAGGAUCAUUAGCGAGCUUUUCCAGCGCUUCCAAACCCCUGUGAACACCCUCCUGAAGAAGCCGUUGUUUCGGCGGGAUUGGUGGUUGGUCCUGGCCAGGCCCAAGCCGCUGUCAAUGCCCUGUCCGCAAGCCCGACAGGCGCCCGCCGGCAGCAGCCAAAGUUCAGCUUUUGCAUAGCGGGCUCAGGUGACGAGUCCUUCUGAAGUAACUGCCUUAAAAAGCAAUCUAAAAACUUUCAACAACGGAUUUCUCUUGGCUCUGGCAUUCGAUGAAGAAACGCAGCAAAAUGACGAUAAGUAAUGUGAAUUGCAGAAAUUCAGUGAAUCAUCGAAUCUUUUGAACGCACAGUUGCACCCGGCGGCACUCCGCCCGGGUAUGGCCUGUCCGAUGCGUCAUGUCAUUCGCUCAGGCCCCCCUGCUCCAGGCGGGGGGUGCCCUGGUGUUGGGGCUUGCGCCAGCUGAGCGCAUCCCUUAAAUCGAUUGGCGAGCUGGCCGUGGCCCCCUUGCGUAGUGGAUAACCAUCGCAUCCGGGGUGCCGUCAGCGCACCUAGACCAUUCCUGGCUAGACCACUAAAUUGACCUCGGAUCAGGUAGGGUUACCCGCUGAACUUAAGCAUAUCAAUAAGCGGAGGAAAAGAAACCAACAGGGAUUGCCCUAGUAACGGCGAGUGAAGCGGCAGCAGCUCAAAUUUGAAAUCUGGCACCUUUGGUGUCCGAGUUGUAAUUUGCAGAGGAUGCUUUUGCCGAGGUGCCUUCCGAGUUCCCUGGAACGGGACGCCUUAGAGGGUGAGAUCCCCGUACGGUCUGGUGCCGAGCCUCUGUAAAGCUCCCUCGACGAGUCGAGUAGUUUGAUUAAUGCUGCUCUAAAUGGGAGGUAAACUCCUUCUAAAGCUAAAUACCGUCCAGAGACCGAUAGCGCACAAGUAGAGUGAUCGAAAGAUGAAAAGCACUUUGAAAAGAGAGUUCAAUAGCACGUGAAAAUUGUUGAAAGGGAAGCGCUCAUGACCAGACUUGGGCUUGGUGGUUCAGCCGUCCCUCGGGCCGGUGCAUUCCACCGGCUCAGGCCAGCAUCAGUUACCGGGGGGGGAGAAACGACAAGCGGGAAUUCUGCCCUUGGGGGUGUUAUAGGCCCGCUGUCAUGCCCCCUUGCGAUAUGAGGUUAGCGUGCUGAUCAGGAAGUGGGAAUAAUGGUCUUAACCCCCCUUUAAAAAAAAGAAAAA